rnacentral:rRNA from 1 species
UGGGGAAUAUUGCACAAUGGGCGAAAGCCUGAUGCAGCAACGCCGCGUGAGUGAUGAAGGCCUUCGGGUUGUAAAGCUCUGUCUUCUGGGACGAUAAUGACGGUACCAGAGGAGGAAGCCACGGCUAACUACGUGCCAGCAGCCGCGGUAAUACGAAGGUGGCAAGCGUUGUCCGGAUUUACUGGGCGUAAAGGAUGCGUAGGCGGAUACUUAAGUCAGAUGUGAAAAUCCCGGGCUUAACUUGGGAACUGCAUUUGAAACUGGGUAUCUAGAGUGCGGGAGAGGAAAGUGGAAUUCCUAGUGUAGCGGUGAAAUGCGUAGAGAUUAGGAAGAACACCAGUGGCGAAGGCGACUUUCUGGACCGUAACUGACGCUGAGGCAUGAAAGCGUGGGGAGCAAACA